UACAGAGGUCUCAAUCGUUGUUCGGAUUCAUUGGGCGUAAAGGGCUCGUAGGCGGCCAACUAAGUCAGACGUGAAAUCCCCAGGCUUAACCUGGGAACUGCGUCUGAUACUGGAUGGCUUGAAUUCGGGAGAGGGAUGCAGAAUUCCAGGUGUAGCGGUGAAAUGCGUAGAUAUCUGGAGGAAUACCGGUGGCGAAGGCGGCAUCCUGGACCGAGAUUGACGCUGAUGAGCGAAAGCUAGGGGAGCAAACGGG
rnacentral:rRNA from 1 species